CAGUACAACGAUCCCAGCCGCCGAGGGGUCAUCGAAGAUCCUGCCUUGAUUCGUUGGACCUAUCCAAGAUCAGCAAAUGUCUAUCCAAAUUUCAGACCCACUCCUAAAAACUCACUCUUGGGAACUCUGUGUGGAUUUAGGCCCCUCUUCUUCUGGUAUUACAUUUUCAAAACUGACAGAGAUAGGAAAGAAAAACUUAUCCGGGAAGGAAAAUUGGAUGGAACAUUUAACCUUUCAUAUUAA
rnacentral:lncRNA from 1 species